rnacentral:rRNA from 1 species
CUGUAGUGGGGGAUAGCCCGGCGAAAGCCGGAUUAAUACCGCAUACGAUCUGUGGAUGAAAGCGGGGGAUCCUUCGGGACCUCGCGCUACAGGGGCGGCCGAUGGCAGAUUAGCUAGUUGGUGGGGUAAAGGCCUACCAAGGCGACGAUCUGUAGCUGGUCUGAGAGGACGACCAGCCACACUGGGACUGAGACACGGCCCAGACUCCUACGGGAGGCAGCAGUGGGGAAUUUUGGACAAUGGGCGCAAGCCUGAUCCAGCAAUGCCGCGUGUGUGAAGAAGGCCUUCGGGUUGUAAAGCACUUUUGUCCGGAAAGAAAACCUCGUGGUUAAUACCCGUGGGGGAUGACGGUACCGGAAGAAUAAGCACCGGCUAACUACGUGCCAGCAGCCGCGGUAAUACGUAGGGUGCAAGCGUUAAUCGGAAUUACUGGGCGUAAAGCGUGCGCAGGCGGCUCGCUAAGACAGAUGUGAAAUCCCCGGGCUUAACCUGGGAACUGCAUUUGUGACUGGCGGGCUAGAGUAUGGCAGACGGGGGUAGAAUUCCACGUGUAGCAG